rnacentral:lncRNA from 1 species
UUGAAGUGAUUUAUUUAGAGAAAAAUCAUAUUUGUUGUUUACGCAAUAUUAUAAUGCAUUAAACAAAACUCUAGUUUUUUUUAAAAAAAAAUUUCUCAUAAAAUGUUUAGCAAGAUUAAUCCAAACUUGGAACACAAAAUUCAAAAAAAUGCAAGUUCAUUAAUGCAUAUGAUAUUGAUAACCUAAAUAUCAAUCACUAGAAAUGACCUAGAUUAUUAGCAAUCUAUUAUAAAUACUAAACUCAUUAUAACUCUCUGCCGCUUUGGUGAGCACUGUAGAUUCAAAGAAAAAAACAAUCUCCUUUCUCUUGGCAAAUACAUUUUUCUCUUCUUUAAUCGUCUCGAAAAGGAUGGAUCAAAGAAUAUGACUCCACAGCAUGAUCCACUCGAUGGAACAAGAGGUUUAAUGCUUAACAUCCUAUCAAUUUUUCUCUUAUCUAUUUAU